rnacentral:rRNA from 1 species
UACGUAGGUGGCAAGCGUUAUCCGGAAUUAUUGGGCGUAAAGAGCGCGCAGGCGGUUGAUUAAGUCUGAUGUGAAAGCCCACGGCUUAACCGUGGAGGGUCAUUGGAAACUGGUCGACUUGAGUGCAGAAGAGGGAAGUGGAAUUCCAUGUGUAGCGGUGAAAUGCGUAGAGAUAUGGAGGAACACCAGUGGCGAAGGCGGCUUCCUGGUCUGUAACUGACGCUGAGGUGCGAAAGCGUGGGUAGCAAACAGGAUUAGAUACCCGU